UACGUAGGGGGGCAAGCGUUGUCCGGAAUCAUUGGGCGUAAAGAGCGUGUAGGCGGCCAGAUAAGUCCGCUGUGAAAUCUCGAGGCUCAACUUCGAGCUGUCGGUGGAAACUGUCUGGCUAGAGUCCGGAAGAGGAGAAUGGAAUUCCUGGUGUAGCGGUGAAAAUGCGCAGAUAUCAGGAAGAACACCCGUGGCGAAGGCGGUUCUCUGGGACGGUACUGAGCUGAGACGCGGAAAAGCGUGGGGGAGCAACGG
rnacentral:rRNA from 1 species